rnacentral:lncRNA from 1 species
CCCCAAUUAUUCAAUUUUUGAUGAAAUCAAACAAAGUUCAAUUUUGGACCCUUUGGGCCCCUUAUUCCUAAACUGUUGGGACCAAAACUCCCAAAAUCAAACCCAACCUUCCUUUUAUGGUCAUAAACCUUGUGUUUAAAUUUCAUAGAUUUCUAUUUACUUAUACUUAAGUUAUGGUGCGAAAACCAAGAAUAAUGCUUAUUUGGGCCCCUUUUUGGCCCCAAAUUCCUAAACUGUUGGGACCUCAACUCCCAAAAUCAAUCCCAACCUUCCUUUUGUGGUCAUAAACCUUGUGUUUAAAUUUCACUGAUUUCUAUUUACUUAUACUAAAGUUAUUGUGCGAAAACCAAGAAUAAUGCUUAUUUGGGCCCUUUUUUGGCCCCUAAUUCCUAAACUGUUGGAACCAAAACUCCCAAAAUCAAUCCCAACCUUCCUUUUGUGGUCAUAAACCUUGUGUCAAAAUUUCAUAGAUUUCUAUUCACUUAAACUAAAGUUAUAGUGCGAAAACCAAAAAAAUGCUUAUUUGUGCCCUUUUUGGCCCCUAAUUCCUAAAAUGUUGGGACCAAAACUCCCAAAAUCAAUCCCAACCUUCCUUUUGUGGUCAUAAACCUUGUGUCAAAAUUUCAUCAAUUUCUAUUCAUUUUUACUAAAGUUAGAGUGGGACGACGACGACGACGCCAACGUGAUAGCAAUAUACGACGAAAAAUUAAAAUUUUUGCGGUCGUAUAAAAACCAUGGUAUAUAUAGUACUUAAUGGGCUGUAUUGGUCUUUUGUUGUCUAGACGGUUUGGAAUGUUGGAUUCCUGUUUUACGUUGAAACAGUCCGGACCUUUCAGUUUAGAUAUUUUAAACUUUUAGAGAUAGUUUUUAAAAUCAAAUAUCAGAAACGGUCUUCAUAACUUAAAAGUGUAACUAUCCUUGCAGAAUGUUUUAUGUGUAAAGGUAACUGCUGAUAUCUACAUAUUCACGA